ensembl:lincRNA
CAUCAUUGCAAAUAACAUCUGUAUUUAUUUUAGAAAUUGUUAGGCGUACUUUGUCAAUUGCACUAAAAAGGCUUUGCAGUUGCAGAAUGUACAAAUGAAUGUACAGUAGCUAAUAUUAAUCUUAAACAGUAUUUUUGAAUUUUCACUGGUGAAUGCUCAUGUUUGCACAUGUAAAGAAAGAGAACACAAUAUCAUGCUGAUAUUAUAUUGAAAGAACAACACUGAAUUAUGUUUAUUUUUUCUAUGGCCUAAUCCAGACAAAAAGAGUCAUCACACUAUAGUUAAGUAUGUGGUUUUCUUGUUUCCUUGAUGCGGUCAGUUCCACAUUUUAACUUACAUAUGCAUUGAACCCGGAACACUUCAUUUGAAUCAACCCUGCAGAAUCAUGAAGUUUUUAAUAUUUUUUCUUACGCUGGCUGGGAUGAAUGCGAGGCAGACAGCUUUAGAUUCACCUAUACAACCUGUUAUUAAAGUAACACCAAAAAGCAUCAAUAUAGAAAAUACAGUAACAAUUCGAUGUGAAAGUCAGAAUGGAAAAUUGUGUCACUUCUACACUCAUAACAGCACAGACCCUUUCAGAUCAGAACCAAACAAGGCUGGAGUCUGUCAGAUUACCGUCAAUGGGUGGGACAUUCUGGAACAGGGAUUGAUGAACUUGAAUAUAACCAAUGAGGUUUCUGUAAGUUGUGCUGGUGAACUAAUGGAGGGGAACCAAACUGUUACCUCAAGCAAGAGUGAGCCAGAAAAACUAGAGGUUGUUGGUUGGUUAAGAAAACCAAGAAUUAAUGUACAUGAGGAAAUAUUUACAGAAAGAUCACAAGUUAAGAUUCGCUGUGAAGCUGAGAGAGGAAUACACUGCCAUUUCUACAUUAAUCAGACCAAUGAAUCUAAGGUGCUAUUGGUGAAAGAGCCAUUCAAGAAAGAGUUUAAAGUCUGUAUUGCCACUAUAUUUGGGAGCGAGCUGCUGAAAAGGAAAGGUAAUGGGAACAGUACUGAGGUCAUUCUGAGCUGUACUGUUGAUCUUGAAGGAAAAGGAAAACCACUUACCUCUCCGCCUAGUGAGAACAGAAUAAUCAAAGUUGGGGAUUUGGGUGUCAAUGGGCCCACAACAAUUUGUCUUACUGAGUCAGAAUGGCCCAUAGCUGAAUCCAAGACUGCAUCAUCAACGGAUGGACAAAGUAAUUUUUCGAACACCUUCAUCUGGACACUUUCUGGUGGACUGUUGUUUUUAGUCUUUUUCAUAGCAACAGGCCUGAUCCUAAUCUGUUUAAAACACAGAAAAAUCCAAUAUGAUUGUGAAAGGAACAAGCAGACUGAAGAAAACAAUACUGAAUUGUGUAAGUAUGUGAAAAAGCAAGCUAGAUUUAAUGCUCUCUCAACAGACGCCAUCUACACUGAAAAAUAUAUUAAUGUUUUGUUUUUAUUUUUAUAACAGAUUCUGCCGUCAAUGAAAAUGAUCAAAAGAUUUCAAAGCUGCACGACACAGGCUCUGAAAUGUACUAUAGCAAAGUGAAACGAUACAAGCAACCUGGCAAAGCUGACCAAUUGGCUCAGCUCCAUCCAAAGGAAGAGUACUGCACUGUGGGGAUACAAUUUGACAGUAACCCCACAACCACAUCAGACAACAUCUGCUCCAUUUACGGAACCAUAGACAAUUAAAAAGAACAGAGAAAUGGAGCAAUAUUUUAAUAGCCUUUCUGAUAAACUAUUUCCUUAUUACUUAUACCUGUCCAUGUGUCUUUAUGCCUUUGUACUUUGUUAUGUGUGGUUUAUCUUUGGCUUUUACACUAGAUGUCUGCUUCUUGAUGAAGUCCUUUCAAUAUUGUUGUUAUCUUAAAAUAUCAAAUUUCUGAGUUUCCAACACAAACAUCAGACUAAUACUGAUACCUGAUAGUGAAGCUUAGUUUUACUUAUCUCUUUAUAAUGAAAGAUAUAUUCCAUGGUUUUUCUUAUAACAAGACAUCAAAGUUUAAUUUUCUCCACAUUGAUCAUUUUCCUCAAUGUUUUUAUACAUUAUCCUGUAUUGUUCUUCAUUCAGUCAGUGAAAGAAAAUUACUGGUAAUACAAUCCCAUGCUUGUAUACUUACUGAAUGCUGUCUGGUGCUGUAGAAACACACUGUACAGUACAUAUCCCUAUACUGUAUUGUUCCUCUCUGGUUAAAGAAGAGAGAAAUUGUGCCCCUGAUGUACUGUGCACAUGUUCUGGUGUGUGUUUUGUCACUGGGGAACACCUGGACAAACUUGGUUUUGAAAUAUUUUGAUAAUACGUAUAUUUUGAAAAUGAACAUUUAAUUGAAAGUUUCUUAUAAUCUAAAGGCAAAUUUACUUAACCUGACCUACAUUUUCUUAUACUGUAGCUUACUUAGCGAUUUUACCUUUAUGUCUUCAAUAAACUUUUUUGGUUUAAUGUUAGUGUUCUUCUUAUUUUAGGAAUGAUGUAAAGUAAUGUAAUUACACUUGCUUAAUUUUUUAAUUAUAUAUUUAACACAAUUUAUUUAGUUUAGGGGUUGCAACAUUACAUUUUAUAAGUGGAUAAUAAUCCAAUUCUGUAAAUAAUUACUUAUAAUUACUUGAUGAAGAUUUGGAAUAUGGUUCAAACUAUGGAAAAAACUUUUGUUACUAAUGUAAUUAAUCCACUGCAGCAUUUGAAUAUUAUCACUUUUAUGUCACUCCAUUAAUCUUUUUUGUAAUAUAUUUAAUUUUAAAAACAUUACUACACAAAUUAGGAGUAAAACACAUUCCUGUUUUAAUGUUUCAGUUGCUUUUAUUUUCUUGUUUAAGUCCAAACGUAUGGAAAUGUAUCAAUCUCUGAACAAGGUCUGUUCAAUUACACAUAUAAUCUGUGUAUGUGAAUGUUAAUAUUAUUUCCUAUCCUUUUUACUUUGGCAAAUAAGUGCUUCCAAGUCACUUCCAAGUCACUUGCCAGAAAGUUUUGGGAGGUUCUAUUUCUAUUUUUUCUUAAUCCGACUCAGUAAAUAUUAUACUAAAUGGAAUAACAAAAUAAAACAUGUUCAAACAUGUUUUAAUGACCAGAGAUCUAGUAAUAUGAUAAUGAUAACUAAAUGAUCUGAAUUGAUUCUAAAAAAAGACUUUAAUUGGGUGGCUCUGUGGCUAAGGAUCUGCACCUGUGGCUGGAAGGUUGCCGAUUGCUGGCAGAGGAAUCCUAAUCUGUUCGGACCCUGAGCAAGGCACAUAACCCCAGCUGCUCCAGGGGUGCUGUACAAUAGCUGAUCCUGCGCUCUGACCCCAAGCUUCUCUCCCUGUCUGUGUGGCUCAUGGAGAGCAAUCUGGGGUAUGAGAAAAAACAAAUUCCUAAUGCAAGAAAUUGUAAUGGGUCAAUAAAGUGAUGUAAUUUUUUAAUUAUUGUCAGAUUAUAAUAGCUUUUACAAUAAAAAUUAUAUUCAUGAAAAACACAACCUUUACCCCUGUUUUAGUGGUUCCACUAAGCACCUGGGUUUUAUCUUUAAAAAAAAAUGAUGGUGAAUUGUGACCAAACAAACUUUUAAAUACUUAAGGUGGAGUCAUAGCACAAAUGCAGUUUAAGAAGGAAUUUAUGUACUGUAUGAAGGGGUUGGAGUAAUGCAACAUUUACAUACAAAAUAGAAAAACAAAAAAG